rnacentral:rRNA from 1 species
AUGAUUCCAAGACUUGGAAUCAUACCAGCGGAUGGGUGGUGGUUUAUCGCUCAUUCAGCUGACGGUGGUCAUUUGAUGCUCAUUCGCACCUUGUUGCCAGAUAAUCUUCAGUGUGUGAAAGACAUCAAGCUUCCAUGCGAUUACAAUAUAACUGGCAUUAACCGAUGCAAGUCCAAGAAGGAUUGGCCGGUGCUGCGGGCUGGCAUCAAGUUCGAUCCCACGGAUCAGGAGCUGAUUGAGCACCUUGAGGCCAAAGUGAGUGCUGAUAGCGCGAUAUCUCACCCUCUCAUCGAUUUGUUUAUACCAACCAUCGAAAGCAAGCAUGGCAUAUGCUACACCCAUCCUGAGAAACUUCCAGGUAUCACACUGAGUGGCCUAAGCAAGCAUUUCUUCCAGCGCAAUUCUAGGGUGUUCAAAAGGGGCACAUGGAUGCGUCGCAAGAUAGAGUCGGAGUGCGACAUGCACGCGAUGUGGCACAAGACCGGCAAUACCUUGCCGGUGAUGGUCAACGGCCCGCAGACGGGCAACAAAAAGGUUCUGGUGCUGCACACCAACAAGACCUUCGACCAGCGGAGGACCAACUGGGUGAUGCACCAGUACCACCUCAGUGACCUGGAGCAAGAGAAGGAGCGGGAGCUGGUCCUCUGCAAGAUUUUCUUCCAGACAAACACUAGGGCCAGGAGUAAAAAGAUUAUAAGUUAG